CCGAACAUCACCAAAGCUGAUUACAAAGAUCAACGACUUGUAACCAAAUAAAUAGUUCUUUCUUAUGUAACACCAUUUUCAUUAACUUGCAUGUGGACUAACACAUUGCAGUGACAAGCUGACAUUACACCCCACACCAUCAAAGGAAGUAAAUGAUUUAACUUGAUUGGAUAGACAACACACAAACUAUUUACAGUCUGAGAAAUUAGUCAAAAUUAUGCGAAUAUCAGCCACCAUCCCUAAGCUAAUGGAGGCGAUAAUGUAUUCAACCUGCCUCUGAAUAAUGGCUAGAAAUUUGGAAGCAUGGACAGUGUGCUCCAUAUGUG